rnacentral:rRNA from 1 species
AUACGUAGGGGGCGAGCGUUGUCCGGAAUGAUUGGGCGUAAAGGGCGCGUAGGCGGCCCGGUAAGUCUGGAGUGAAAGUCAUGUUUUUAAGAUGGGAAUUGCUUUGAAUACUGUCGGGCUUGAGAGCAGGAGAGGUAAGUGGAAUUCCUAGUGUAGCGGUGAAAUGCGUAGAUAUUAGGAGGAACACCAGUGGCGAAGGCGGCUUGCUGGACGACAACUGACGCUGAGGCGCGAAAGCGUGGGGAGCGAACAGGAUUAGAUACCCUGGUAGUCCACGCCCUAAACGAUGAAUACUAGGUGUGGGGGGACUGACCCCUUCCGUGCCGGAGUAAACACAAUAAGUAUUCCACCUGGGGAGUACGACCGCAAGGUUGAAACUCAAAGGAAUUGGCGGGG